AAACCAGCACCUCAAGUGGUCAGGAUGAUUAUUGGGCCUAAAGCAUCCGUAGCCGGCUCUGUAAGUUUUCGGUUAAAUCUGUACGCUCAACGUACAGGCUGCCGGGAAUACUGCAGAGCUAGGGAGUGGGAGAGGUAGACGGUACUCGGGAGGAAGGGGUAAAAUCCUUUGAUCUUUCGAUGACCACCUGUGGCGAAGGCGGUCUACCAGAACACGUUCGACGGUGAGGGAUGAAAGCUGGGGGAGCAAACCGGAUUAGAAACCCCAGUAGUCC
rnacentral:rRNA from 1 species